ACAUCUCAACUCCUCACGGUUUGCCCGUUAUGAGCUUGGACAUUGGGGGUCUUGCUGGCCUGCGGGUCGGCUCCUCUCAAAUGAAUCAGCUUGCCGGUGUUUGGUGGCGUCACAGGUGUGAUAACUAUCUACGCUUGUGGUUUUCCGCCAGGUAACCUCCAGCAAUGGGGGUUCACUGGAGCUCACAAAUGUCUCUCCUCGGCGAGGACAGCUCUUUGAAC
rnacentral:misc_RNA from 1 species